CUCUUUCAGCCGAUCAGUCACUGUGCAUUCCAUCUAUUCGGCUCAUCAACCGACCCAAAACCUUGUGCAUUCUGUACAUUCGGCUCAUCUAGCCGAACCUGCUCUACAGUAAUUGUCUUCGAACUCGACUGAUCCGAUCCCUCAUCAGCCGAAUCGCUUGAUCCAGUCGAAGGGCGCAAACUUCGAGGGUCAUUAAUCGUAGCCGCUCCGCAUCCCUAC
rnacentral:lncRNA from 1 species